rnacentral:rRNA from 1 species
GGACGAACGCUGGCGGCGUGCUUAACACAUGCAAGUCGAACGGUGACGAGGAGCUUGCUCCUCUGAUCAGUGGCGAACGGGUGAGUAACACGUGAGCAACCUGCCCCAGACUCUGGGAUAACAGUUGGAAACAGCUGCUAAUACCGGAUACGAGACGGAGAGGCAUCUCUACCGUCUGGAAAGUUUUUCGGUCUGGGAUGGACUCGCGGCCUAUCAGCUAGUUGGUGAGGUAAUGGCUCACCAAGGCGACGACGGGUAGCCGGCCUGAGAGGGCGACCGGCCACACUGGGACUGAGACACGGCCCAGACUCCUACGGGAGGCAGCAGUGGGGAAUAUUGCACAAUGGGCGAAAGCCUGAUGCAGCGACGCCGCGUGAGGGAUGACGGCCUUCGGGUUGUAAACCUCUUUCAGCAGGGAAGAAGCGAAAGUGACGGUACCUGCAGAAGAAGCACCGGCUAACUACGUG